rnacentral:rRNA from 1 species
AGAGAGAGACAUGCGCGCAUAUCAAUAAGCAGAGGAAAAGAAACUAACAAGGAUUCCCCUAGUAACGGCGAGUGAAGCGGGAAGAGCUCAAAUUUGAAAUCUUAAAGGGUUUCCCUUUACGAAUUGUAGUUUAAAGAAGUGUUUUCUGUUGAGGUUUUGGUAAAAGUUCUUUGGAAUAGGACAUCAUAGAGGGUGAGAAUCCCGUAUUUGACCUUUACUUUCAACUUUGUGAUACACUUUCGAAGAGUCGGAUUGUUUGGGAAUGCAGUCCAAAAUGGGUGGUAAAUUUCAUCUAAAGCUAAAUACUGGCGAGAGACCGAUAGCGAACAAGUACCGUGAGGGAAAGAUGAAAAGAACUUUGAAAAGAGAGUUAAACAGUACGUGAAAUUGUCAAAAGGGAAGCGUUUGACACCAGUGUUGUUUUUCUGAAAAUCAAUUAAAGAACUGUUUAUGCUAAGUUGUUUAGACUUUAUCAGCUAACUGUUUAGUUUUGAGCUUUUCUUUAAUGCACUUUUCAGUUAACAAGUCAACAUCAAUUUCUUUUGCUGUAAAAAAGCUUGAGGAAGGUGGCUUGAGAUUCGUCUUAAGUGUUUAUAGCCUCUUGCCUAUGCAGUCGGAGAGAUUGAGGUCUGCAGCGUAGAUCCUUCGGGGCUAAAUGCAUUUGUGCUAAGUUAUAGCAUUUUAUAGACAACUUGUUGACUAUGAUUUGUCUUGUAGCUUACUCGCUUAUGUUAUUUUACCUACGCUUAGGAUGUUGAGCGCAUGUCUCUCUCU